CAUGCAAGUCGAGCGGCAGCGGGAAAGUAGCUUGCUACUUUUGCCGGCGAGCGGCGGACGGGUGAGUAAUGCCUGGGAAAUUGCCCAGUCGAGGGGGAUAACAUUUGGAAACGACUGCUAAUACCCCAUACCCCCUACGGGGGAAAGCAGGGGACCUUCGGGCCUUGCGCGAUUGGAUAUGCCCAGGUGGGAUUAGCUAGUUGGUGAGGUAAUGGCUCACCAAGGCGACGAUCCCUAGCUGGUCUGAGAGGAUGAUCAGCCACACUGGAACUGAGACACGGUCCAGACUCCUACGGGAGGCAGCAGUGGGGAAUAUUGCACAAUGGGGGAAACCCUGGUGCAGCCAUGCCGCGUGUGUGAAGAAGGCCUUCGGGUUGUAAAGCACUUUCAGCGAGGAGGAAAGGUUGGCCCCUAAUACGUGUCAACUGUGACGUUACUCGCAGAAGAAGCACCGGCUAACUCCGUGCCAGCAG
rnacentral:rRNA from 2 species